rnacentral:sRNA from 1 species
UUCAAAUGUUUUUGUUUGUUGUUUUCAUAUUCCCAGUUGGACUAUAAACUCUUUGUUCUUGUGUCUCCUGCAUGCCAACCACAUUUGGAUGCUUGUUGGUUGGCUGAUACCUUUUCUUUCCUUUUCCUAACCCUUUAUGCCUUACCCUCUUCCCUCCUGCCUUCUUUCCCCUUUCCUCUUGGCCUGCCCCCGGCCAACAUUAUUUUUAAAAUUUCUCUGCAGAUUCUGAUGUUGAGAUUGACUUGGAGCUCUUCGUAAAUAAGACGACAGCUACAAAGCUCAACUCAGGUGAAGACAAAAUUGAGGACAUUCUGGUUCUGCACUUGGACAGGGGAAAGGAUUACUUUUUGUCUGUGUCUGGGAACUACCUGCCCAGCUGUUUUGGGUCUCCCAUUCAUACACUGUGUUACAUGAGAGAGCCAAUCUUGGACCUACCACUUGAAACUAUUAGUGAGCUGACUCUGAUGCCAGUAUGGACUGGAGAUGAUGGGAGCCAGUUGGAGAGCCCCAUGGAAAUCCCCAAAGAGCUCUGGAUGCUGGUUGAUUACCUGUACCGAAAUGCUGUCCAGCAG